UUUUAGCAAAUCUCCAUUGUUAGUAUUUCUUUAUUAAAUGUCCCCCAAAGGGCUGGAGAGAGACAGGUGAAGGCAGGUGUACCGGCUGAAUAUUAUUGGAAAUUAAGCACUGAAGGAAUCUUUGAACUGAAUAAUUUUCCAUUAUUUCCAUCAGCUUCCUGUACCUGAUGCAUUUUCACAUCCGCACUCUGGAGGUUGGGCUCAUUUUGUAGGUUAACCCUUCAAUCCAGUGUAUUUUGCUUAUUUUCCAACUCAAUAUUUGAAUUCUGGGACUAACAUUGUUUAAAGGUUCAAAAUAAUCCAUAUUUACAAGGUGUUGCUCUCCAUGCCACUACCACACUGCUGCACCAGUUAGUGAAACAACUAUGUUUAAGGGUAAAACAUCAAUUUUUACAUGCAUCCUGAAAAUUCUCAAUAUUUCUGAGGCUAACAAAUAAUAUCCAGAACAUCCUAAUAACAAGGGAAAAAAUUAAUUUGCGCAAAUUUAUAUUCUUGUGCAUUUUUACAUGACAAGUAAAGUAAGUAAAAUAAAAAAAAAUGAGUUGAUUAACUUUUUGAGCAUCAAAACGGCACCAUCAACUUUUUAUUUUGGCAAAGCAAUUUAUGUUAAUGUCAUUGAGCCUAUAGUCAAGUCAUCUUCGCUUAUGACCUGGAUUACUCCCUGCAAAGCAUAAACAUGAUGCAACGAUGCUGUGUGCACAGAUGUGGGCGGUGAGCCAACGCACUGCAAGGCGAGCAUCUCAGCUUGUAUUUUGUUUUGUAUUUUUGACCACCUCUCUCGACAAACAGGUUUGAACAGCAGGUGGGUGAAACUAGGUGCCUGAGAUGACCAUAUUAGGGAUAUUCUCUCUCUCUGACAUCAUAAAAAGUUUAGAGUUAAAAAAAUGUUUGAUGCCUGAACUCACAGGGGUUACUUGUACAUACACUGACCUCAUUAUUUGAACCUUAAUAUGAAUGUCCAGCAUUGAGACUAUGUUCCUGAAAACCAGGGCAAAGCACAGUCAGUCCACCUUAUCGUUUAGAUACAUUUCUGACCAAACUAACACAAACUAAAAAACUAUACAGCCCAUCAUGAACCAGCAAUUCUGAAUAAAACAGUAUUAUGCUGGAUGUCUUCACACAAUCAACAGCUUUAAUACUGGAUAUCAGUGUUCCUACUGAACUUUCAAAUCCCAUUCAUCAGUGGGACACUGCAGCCACUACCACAACUUAUGUGUUACUAGCACUGUUUUUUUUUUUUAAAUUUGUGUAUGUGUCAGUGUAUUUGUGUGUUUGAAUGCCUGGCCUCACUGUAUGUGACUAACUGAUCUGGCAUAAACUGUGAGAACUGAUGACUAUUACUGUAAAGCAACAAUAAACCUGACACGCUGACUUACUAAAA
ensembl:lncRNA